UCUGGUGUGGUUCGAGUGAGAAUUGAAGGGGACAAUGAAAAUAAAUUACCCAGAGAAGACGGUAUGGUUCCAUUUGUAUUUGUUGGCACUAAAGAAAGCAUUGGAAAUGUGCAAGUUCUUCUAGAGUAUCAUAUUGCUUAUCUAAAGGAAGUAGAACAGCUAAGAAUGGAACGCCUACAGAUUGAUGAACAGCUGCGACAGAUUGGUUCUAGGUCUUAUAGUGGAAGAGGCAGAGGUCGUCGGGGACCUAAUUACACCUCCGGUUAUGGUACAAAUUCUGAGCUGUCUAACCCCUCUGAAACGGAAUCUGAGCGUAAAGACGAGCUGAGUGAUUGGUCAUUGGCAGGAGAAGAUGAUCGAGACAGCCGACAUCAGCGUGACAGCAGGAGACGCCCAGGAGGAAGAGGCAGAAGUGUUUCAGGGGGUCGAGGUCGUGGUGGACCACGUGGUGGCAAAUCCUCCAUCAGUUCUGUGCUCAAAGAUCCAGACAGCAAUCCAUACAGCUUACUUGAUAAUACAGAAUCAGAUCAGACUGCAGACACUGAUGCCAGCGAAUCUCAUCACAGUACUAACCGUCGUAGGCGGUCUCGUAGACGAAGGACUGAUGAAGAUGCUGUUCUGAUGGAUGGAAUGACUGAAUCUGAUACAGCUUCAGUUAAUGAAAAUGGGCUAGGUAUGUAAGCACUUAGGGAAAAUAAAUAAAUAUAUAUAUAAUUGUAUACUAUUGUUAGUAUAUGAAGCUUUUUUCAAAGAAAGUAUGCAAUUCACAAAUUGACUUUUUCUUAGUGUUUACUUUGAACAAGGUAGAUAGCUUUCUGUCUGUCUGAAAUGUUUAGUUCUCAGAUUGGUUAUAGCCAAAUUAUUUGAAACUUGGGAGGGUUAAAGUGCCCUUUGAUGCCAUUAAAUCAGUACAAAAAUUCAGCUGGCAAGGUACUUAGUGCUUUUAUUGUCCCC
rnacentral:sRNA from 1 species